GAUGAAGAACGCAGCGAAAUGCGAUACUUGGUGUGAAUUGCAGAAUCCCGUGAACCAUCGAGUCUUUGAACGCAAGUUGCGCCCGAAGCCAUCAGGUUGAGGGCACGUCUGCCUGGGCGUCACAUAUCGUUGCCCAAUGCCUAUUGCAGUGCAAUAGGAAUUUCUAGGGCGAAUGAUGGCUUCCCGUGAGCGUUGUUGCCUCGCGGUUGGUUGAAAAUCGAGUCCUUGGUAGGGUGUGCCAUGGUAGAUGGUGGUCGAGUUAGAACGAUACCGAUCAUGUGCAUGCUCCCCAAAAUAUGGCCUCUAUGACCCACACGCGUCUUUUGACGCUCAUGACGAGACCUCAGGUCAGGCGGGGCUACCCGCUGAAUUUAAGCAUAUCAAUAAACGGAGGA
rnacentral:misc_RNA from 1 species